rnacentral:rRNA from 1 species
GCGGGGGGGCGUGCUAUACAUGCAAGUCGAACGAGUUCUGAUUAUUGAAAGGUGCUUGCAUCUUGAUUUAAUUUUGAACGAGUGGCGGACGGGUGAGUAACACGUGGGUAACCUGCCCUUAAGUGGGGGAUAACAUUUGGAAACAGAUGCUAAUACCGCAUAAAUCCAAGAACCGCAUGGUUCUUGGCUGAAAGAUGGCGUAAGCUAUCGCUUUUGGAUGGACCCGCGGCGUAUUAGCUAGUUGGUGAGGUAACGGCUCACCAAGGCAAUGAUACGUAGCCGAACUGAGAGGUUGAUCGGCCACAUUGGGACUGAGACACGGCCCAAACUCCUACGGGAGGCAGCAGUAGGGAAUCUUCCACAAUGGACGCAAGUCUGAUGGAGCAACGCCGCGUGAGUGAAGAAGGCUUUCGGGUCGUAAAACUCUGUUGUUGGAGAAGAAUGGUCGGCAGAGUAACUGUUGUCGGCGUGACGGUAUCCAACCAGAAAGCCACGGCUAACUACGUGCCAGCAGCCGCGGUAAUACGUAGGUGGCAAGCGUUAUCCGGAUUUAUUGGGCGUAAAGCGAGCGCAGGCGGUUUUUUAAGUCUGAUGUGAAAGCCCUCGGCUUAACCGAGGAAGUGCAUCGGAAACUGGGAAACUUGAGUGCAGAAGAGGACAGUGGAACUCCAUGUGUAGCGGUGAAAUGCGUAGAUAUAUGGAAGAACACCAGUGGCGAAGGCGGCUGUCUGGUCUGUAACUGACGCUGAGGCUCGAAAGCAUGGGUAGCGAACAGGAUUAGAUACCCUGGUAGUCCAUGCCGUAAACGAUGAAUGCUAGGUGUUGGAGGGUUUCCGCCCUUCAGUGCCGCAGCUAACGCAUUAAGCAUUCCGCCUGGGGAGUACGACCGCAAGGUUGAAACUCAAAGGAAUUGACGGGGGCCCGCACAAGCGGUGGAGCAUGUGGUUUAAUUCGAAGCAACGCGAAGAACCUUACCAGGUCUUGACAUCUUUUGAUCACCUGAGAGAUCAGGUUUCCCCUUCGGGGGCAAAAUGACAGGUGGUGCAUGGUUGUCGUCAGCUCGUGUCGUGAGAUGUUGGGUUAAGUCCCGCAACGAGCGCAACCCUUAUGACUAGUUGCCAGCAUUUAGUUGGGCACUCUAGUAAGACUGCCGGUGACAAACCGGAGGAAGGUGGGGAUGACGUCAAAUCAUCAUGCCCCUUAUGACCUGGGCUACACACGUGCUACAAUGGAUGGUACAACGAGUUGCGAGACCGCGAGGUCAAGCUAAUCUCUUAAAGCCAUUCUCAGUUCGGACUGUAGGCUGCAACUCGCCUACACGAAGUCGGAAUCGCUAGUAAUCGCGGAUCAGCACGCCGCGGUGAAUACGUUCCCGGGCCUUGUACACACCGCCCGUCACACCAUGAGAGUUUGUAACACCCGAAGCCGGUGGCGUAACCCUUUUAGGGAGCGAGCCGUCUAAGGUGAACAAAA